UACGGGGGGGGCAAGCGUUGUUCGGAAUUACUGGGCGUAAAGGGUUCGUAGGCGGCGCGGUAAGUCGGGUGUGAAAUCUCGGGGCUUAACUCCGAAACUGCAUUCGAUACUGCCGUGCUUGAGGACUGGAGAGGAGACUGGAAUUUACGGUGUAGCGGUGAAAUGCGUAGAUAUCGUAAGGAAGACCAGUGGCGAAGGCGGGUCUCUGGACAGUUCCUGACGCUGAGGCACGAAGGCCAGGGGAGCAAACGGG
rnacentral:rRNA from 1 species